UACGGAGGGAGCUAGCGUUACUCGGAAUUACUGGGCGUAAAGCGUGCGUAGGUGGUUCGUUAAGUCUGAUGUGGAAGCCCUGGGCUCAACCUGGGAAUUGCAUUGGAUACUGGCGAGCUAGAGUGCGGUAGAGGAUAGUGGAAUUCCCGGUGUAGCAGUGAAAUGCGUAGAGAUCGGGAGGAACAUCUGUGGCGAAGGCGACUAUCUGGGCCAGCACUGACACUGAGGCACGAAAGCGUGGGGAGCAAACAGG
rnacentral:rRNA from 1 species